ACCAUGAGAGUCGAUAACACCCGAAGCCUGUGAGCUAACCUUUUAGGAGGCAGCAGUCGAAGGUGGGAUUGAUGAUUGGGGUGAAGUCGUAACAAGGUACC
rnacentral:rRNA from 1 species